GAGUAAAGAAGAGAGAGAAAGAAGAAGAAAGGAAAAAGAGGAAGUAGAAGAAGAAAGAAGAAGGGGAAUCGACCGUAGAGCUUCACCAGAGUUGGGUUUUGGUAUUUUGAGCCCGGAUUUAUGAUCAGCUUGUCGGGAUCUUCGAUUUGAGGUUACACUCAUUAUACGCAUACCCACACAUCAGAUCUCUUACGUGCCGGGUACAAGCACCGUGUACAUAUACAAGUUACCAACCUAGAGAUCAGGAGCCGGGCCCCACUGUAGAGUUUUCCUUUGAGGGCUGGUGGGUCCCCAUUGAGUUCAAGCACGAUGCCGAUUGCACGUGGGAGGAUUGUGCUGUGUGGCAGUAGUGACUUCUGAGUGAUUCUUUUCUAUUAUUUUUGUUGUACUCCCUUUUUAUUACUUGAUGCUUAAAUGGUUAUAUUUUUGUGUAUAUAUCAUGCCUUCAGUCCCAAAUGUAUAUAACUUAUAUAACUCAA